UAACAAAAUACAUAAUACCCAUAAGUUAACGAAGUACAACAGGUUAUGACUCGAGUACAUAAUUAGACCUCCUAUUGAUCUGGUUCCAUCCUCGGAUCCUCUUGAUAUUGAAAAUAUGAUAAUAUGAAUUGAACGAGUGAUUUUCAACGUACUUAGUAAGUAUACAUAAUAGUAAUGCCCUAAGCAUGCCCACACCAACACACAAUCAAGA
rnacentral:lncRNA from 1 species